rnacentral:sRNA from 1 species
UGUGUAACCGGGAGCGAACGGAACGUG